CUCCGGCCAGGUCUCUGCAGCCAUGAGCCCUCCUGUGACCCACAUCCCACAUCAGCCCCAUGAAGGCGACCCCAUGAUGGUGCCCCCAUCAGCGCUGAUCAGGAGGAGCUCCAGGACCUGCCCGCUCUGCUUCUGAGCCCCCGUGGCUGCUCAGCCCAGCUCUUCCCGGAAGCCGCCCAAUCUACCAGGUGCAAACAUGUCCCUGUGAAUGCGGCUGGGUUGGGAAGGUGUAAUGCAGAGUGAAAGAAGCCAGACUCAAAAGACAUCUUAUUGUGGGAUCGUUUGGACAUGACAUUCUGGAAAAGGCAAAAUUAUAGAGACAGAAAACAGAUGCUCGGGAGCAGGGACUGAGGUGGGAAGGAACCUUCGGGGGUGAUGGGAACUCUUUAGGUCUUGAUGUUGGUAAUGGCUACAGGGCCCCACACAUCUGUCAAGACACACUGAACUGUACACCUGGAAAGAAUGAACUGCACUGUAUGUAAAUUACACCCCCAUUAACCUGACUUCAAAACACAGCAGGAUGCCCUUCUGGGAAGAGCCAGGCCCUCCCCACUCAAGAAGAAGUAACCCCAAUGUCUGCAAACUGGUUUUGAUCAAUGAACCUCUUCCUUAGAAUGAACUACCUGCAGCAACCUCAAUAUAAAAGAAAGCAAAGAUGCUUUCUCCUCCAACCCAAGAUGCCCCCAAGAAAUCAUGGGCUCCGGGGGACCUCGAAUGCUAGUGCCAGCCCUACCUCCUGCAGGUGAACCUGGGGGCCAGGGCUGGCUCGCCAGGCAUGGGGAGGGGACUCCACAUGGACACCCUGCCGGCAGGGGCCAUGGUGCGAGAGGGAGGUACACCACAGCAGAAGCAUCUCUGCUGUGGAAACACAGCCCUGUGUCCAUCAGCAGCCUCCCAGCCACGGUCCAGACGGGCGGUCAAGCAUGCAGGCUUCAGACGUGGACGCCGUACCUCCCGCCCCCGGCUGGGAGACCCAGGCAAGUCACUCUGGCCUGUGUGCCCAGGUUCCCUGGAGUGUGACAUGGCCACAGCCCCUCCCUUGCUGGGCUUUCAGGACGGUUCCACGAGAUGACAUAGGUGGAAAACCCAGCUUGCAUUUAACCCCACAUCCAGGCAGUGGCCGCCGCCGUCCUCGCUGUUACCCCUCGGUGCUGGGGGAGGGGAGGGCAAAGGCCCCAUGGGCGCCCCUCCCCCUGGCCUGAGCCGUUUCAUCUGGUUUGUAUCGAGGGGU
rnacentral:lncRNA from 1 species